CUGCCCCUGCCAAGGGGUGCUGGCCACGCAGGAGGCUUAACCUGGCCGGCGCGGGAAUGGGGUGCAGAGAGCAAAGAAAUGUGGCUUUGAUCUUAUGGAUGCCUUACUUUUACAUUAUUUGUACAGUUCUUGCAGUGAGCUUUCCGGACCACUGUCUUGUAUGUUUCCUAAGAAAAGCAAAAAGGGAAGAGAUUGAAGAGAAAGUAGAUUUUCAACUACAAACUUUCAUCCAUUUGCUUUCAGCUUAAGCAAAUGUGCGCAAAGUUGUCAUGGAUUUUUGCAGUCAAUAAAAACCAAGCAAGAAGACUGAAUCCCAAGUCAUCUGGGGCAGAUAAGAAAAGGAACAAUUUGCUGAAACUCCCUCUGCUUGUAACACAACUGACUGAAAUCAGCCGGAAUCAAUAUGGCCAAAUGCAGUUUGCGCACAGCAAGCUUGCUGUUGUCACAGCCUGAAUUUCUACUGCAUGUUUCAUACGAACUCCCUCCAAAUUUGCACAUGGGACCUACCAGGAAGCAUGAAGAGAGAGCCAUGCAUGCCUGAAGACUUCCCAGAUGUUCCCUUUGCUUCCACCAAUCACCUGCUAAUCCCAGGAUCCAACCCUAAACCUUUUGUAAUAAAAUUACUGCCCUAAAGCCAGUACAAGAAGACAGAUUUGAACUGGACUUCUGUUUCCUCAGAAGUUAACUUGCAAUGUGAAGCUUUCCUUUUCUCAAAAACUUGGUGUCAUAGUGUUGGCUUCUAGUGCAGUGAGCCCCUUUUGCUGGAUAACACUACCUGGUAAUUUGACAUACUAGGUGGUUAGUAACUACUGACUGUCUCCAGGUUACAACACAGUUAUUACCUACUUGGGUGAAAAGAGAAGACAGGAAAUACAUUUUGGAGUUGGCUGGCAACCUGUUUACAAAGCGAUUUACAACAGUUCUUUAUUCUUAAGGGGCUAUUCUAAUAUAAGACCUCAGAGAAACAGUGCAGUGUGACAAAGGAGGAAUUUAUCAAAUGAGACAGAAAAAGCAUCAAGGCAAGCUGUGAAAUGGUGCGGUAGGAACCAAAUAGAGAGCCAAAGGAUCUCUCUGUCACUGCAGGCCCUUAGGGUGCCUGACAUGAAAAUCACAGCCUUGGCGA
rnacentral:lncRNA from 1 species